rnacentral:rRNA from 1 species
AGAAUGAACGCUAGCGAUAUGCUUAACACAUGCAAGUUGAACGUUGUUUUCGAAUCAGAAUGAGAACAAAGUAGCGAACGGGUGCGUAACACGUGGGAAUCUGCCGAACAGUUUGGGCCAAAUCCCGAAUGAAUAAAAGCUAAAAAGCGCUGUUUGAUGAGCCCACGUAGUAUUAGGUAGUUGGUUAGGUAAAAGCUGACCAAGCCUACGAUGCUUAGCUGGUCUUUUCGGAUGAUCAGCCACACUGGGACUGAGACACGGCCCCAGACUCCUACGGGAGGCAGCAGUGGGGAAUCUUGGACAAUGGGCGAAAGCCUGAUCCGGCAAUAUGGCGUGAGUGAAGAAGGGCAACGCAGCUUGUAAAGCUCUUUCAUCGAGUGUGCGAUUGUGACAAGACUCGAAUAAGAAGCCCCGGCUAACUCCGCGCCAGCAGCCGC